UCCCUCGUUUUUAAAAAUUAUUAAUAAAGAUUUAUAUGUAAAUUGGAGGACCUAUAUGUAAAUAUAGAAAUUACAAGGACUAAACUGCUAAGUUGCAAAAAAAAAAAGGAAAAAACCGAAAAUUCGGUAUUAUCCCACCGCCUCCCACGCACUCUGUUUCUUCCAGAAACAGAGAGAGCGGUGGGGCGUGAGGAGAAGAAGGAGAGUGGUAGAAGAAGAGAGGAAGAAGAGGGAGAAGAGAAGAAGAAGAAGAAGAAGAAGAAGAAGAGGGAAAAGAAGAGAGGAGGAAGAAGAGGGAGUAGAGAAGAAGAAGAAGGAGAAGAAGAAGAAGAGGAGGUGGCUGCAGCGAGGGCUGCAGCGAGAAGCUGUGGGGCGUGGGGAGAAGAAGAGAGGAAGAAGAGGGAGAAGAGAAGAAGAAGAAGAAGAAGAAGAGAAGAGGAUAGCUGCGGCAAGGCUGCAGCGAGGAGGUGUGGGGUUGGGGAGGAAAAGGGAAGAGGAGAAGAAGAGGGAAAAGAGAGGGAAGAGGGAGAGGAGCGAGAGGUGGCAGCAGCUAGGGCUGCAGCACCUCUGUUUCCUGCAGGUGGAAACAGAGGAGAGGUGUGGGGCGUUCGAAGAGGAGAAGAAGAAGAAGAGGAAGAGAAGAGGAAGAGGAAGCAGGGGAAGAGGUUGUGAUACCUCUGUUUCCUGCAGAGGAAACAGAGGGGAGGGUGUGGGUGACGUCGGGGAGAAGAAGGGGAGGAAGGAGAAGAAGAGAAGAAGAAGAAAGGAAGGAAAAGGAAGAGGAGAAGGGAAGAAAGUAGCUGCGGCUGCGGUUGUGGCAGCUGCAGCUGUGGCAGGGAAAGAAGAAGAGAAAGGAAGAAGGGGAGGAGAGGAAGAAGAGUAGGGGCUGCGGCUGCGGCGAUGGCAGCUGCAGUUGGAAGAGAAGAAGGAGAGGAAGAUGAGCAGGGGAGGAAGAAAAGGCUGUGGCCGUGGCUGAGGCUGCGACUGCAGCAUGCAGCUGGGAAAGAAGAGAAGGAAAGGAAGAAGAAGAGAAAGGAAGAAGGGAAGGAGAGGAAGAAGAGAGGGGGCUGCGGCUGCGGCGAUGGCAGCUGCAGUUGGAAGAGAAGAAGGAGAGGAAGAUGAGCAGGGGAGGAAGAAAAGGCUGUGGCCGUGGCUGAGGCUGCGACUGCAGCAUGCAGCUGGGAAAGAAGAGAAGGAAAGGAAGAAGAAGAGAAAGGAAGAAGGGAAGGAGAGGAAGAAGAGAAGGGGCUACGGCUGCGGCGAUAGCAGCUGCAGUUGGAAGAGAAGAAGGAGAGGAAGAUGAGCAGGGGAGGAAGAAGAGGCUGCGAGUGUGGUGGCUGCGGCCGUGGCUGCGACUCCGGCUGCGGCUGCAACGUUGGCUGCGGUAGCUGCGGCAGCGGUGGUGGCUGCAGUAGCUGCAGUAGCUGCUUUUGGGAAAGAGAAAGAGUAGGAACGAGAGAAGGGAAGAAGGAAAUAGUGCAGUGGAAGGGGGCUGCGGUUGUGACCGCAGUUGCGGUCGUGGCUGCGAUUGUGGCAGCGGCAGCGACGGUGGCUGUGGCAGCUGCGUUUGGGAAAGAAAAAAAAGAAGGAAUGAGAGUAAGAGAGAGCAGGUGACUGUGCCUCGAUGUUCGACACGUGAUGUAGUUGCGAAGAAAGGAAGAAAACGGGAGCACAAAACGAAACAGAGAGAGGACACGGAGAAAAAGUAGAAGGAUUUGGCCUGGCACCUUCUUUGGAUCUUCGGAUCGAAAUCAUUGAAAGGCAAGUUUUCUGAUCCUUCCUAUUGCAAGUUUCCCGCUUGUUUCAAUCCUUUCUAUUGCAAGUUUCCCGCUUGUUUCAAUCCUUUCUAUUGCAAGUUCCCUGAUCGUUCCCCACUGCCAUUUUUAUCUCUACAUUUGCUUUGAUUAUGAGGAACUUUGAAUUGUACUAGCCUUGCAUUUGUUAUAUCUCCUGUUUACAUGUAACGAUUCGAAUCUGUGCAACUUUUGAGAUUAUGAUCUUUUGAUACCGAACUGCCUAUAAGACUUUGUGGAAACUCUGAUUUGUUCAAAACUGAUUUAAUUGGAAACUAGACUGGUAGACCUUUCUUUGAUAUAUGGAUUGAAAGAUCUGAAAUCCAAACACCUGCCCAGUUAUCUGUUGAAUCUGACAUUAUGAAUUCUGCCAACAGAGAUUUUGUUCUAUGACUCUUGCUUACCAAAUUAUUUGUAACUCUCUCUGUUGGACAGUUCAAUUCAUAUGAAGCCUGUCUUAUUUGAAAGUAUUAUCCAAUGAUUAUUUCUGAGUAAAUUGGAGCACGAUUGAUAGUUUGAAUCAUUUGUUCAAUGUGCCUUCUGUAUUCUGCCAGAAAUCGAGCUUUGGUCGAUUUCUCAUAUUCUGGUUUCGUUCCUUUGGAAAUUGAUAUCCUUUAGCCUUCUUAUUCAAUUGAGCUUUAUAUUACUACUUUGAAUUCUUGUAUGCUCUUGUCCUUAAAAUUAUUGCAUUCUUGAAAACUGAUGUGUAACGUUUAUGCUAUAUCGUAUUGACUCAUAUAGGCACAUGUAUAUCCUAUUGUUCCGCAUUUGCUUUCGAUAUGUGCCUAUUCCAGUUUCAUUCCUUUGGACAUUGAAUUCAUCAAAUCUUCUUAUUGAAUUGAGUUAUUUGUGAUUGCUUGGAUUCCAUAUGUGCCCUUGCUUUUAAUUCCCUUCAAAUCUGAAUAUACUUGUGAAAGAUUAUUGCUUACUUCGGAUUGACUCGUAAAGGCACAUGUACGUUUGUUGUUCCGCGUGUGCUUCCGAUAUAUGCUACUUAUUGUUGAAACUGUCCUUUUGUACUCUGGUGUGUGGGAUCGUCUGGACCUUUGCCAGAAAUGGUAAAAGGUAUGCGCUGAUUUGCCCGCUUUGUGGGGUCCCGCUUUGUGGGAUAUUCUGGUAUGCGCUUAUUUGCCCGCUUUGUGGGGUCCCGCUUUGUGGGAUAUUGCUGACUGAGAUCCCACUACACCCUCUAUAUGUUUGAAUGACAUCCAGAGUUUUGGUGAGUUAUUUCUGUUCGUGCUCUGGAUAGUUAUGAUAUGAUUGCAACGUCAAGGACGACGUUUGAGAUUCUGUACGACAUACGAGUUUGAUAUGCUCUGAAAUGCUUCAUUCACUAAUGAUAUGCUUCGAAAUGUUCCAUAUGCCGUUGAUAUGCUCCGGAACAUUUCAUAUGCCAUUGAUAUGCUCCAAUUACUCUGUGCUCCAUUUGCUAUGAACUGAUAUGUUCUGAAAUGUCCUAUCUGCCAUUGAUAUGUUCCAAUUACUUUGUGCUCCAUUUGCUAUGAACUGAUAUGUUCUGAAAUGUCCUAUCUGCCAUUGAUAUGUUCCAAUUACUCUGUGCUCCAUUUGCUAUGAACAGAUAUGUUCUGAAAUGUCCUAUCUGCCAUUGAUAUGUUCCAAUUACUCUAUGCCCCAUUCGUUAUGGAUCAAAUAUGUUUUUGAAUGACAUGAUACGUAUGAUUUGGUAUCUAUUGAGAUGGUAUCCUUGAGAAUUCUUGUAUUCUGCCUUGCAUUAUGAUACCUUACUCGUUUGAAACCGUUCAUUUUGUUCUGAAUAUGCUUUGUCACUUGCUGAGCCGUUUUUGGCUCACUCCGUUGUUAUAUAAAUCUUUCAGGUCAGCUUGUCACUCUUCGAGAUGUUUGAUUUGGGCUGAGGCAAUGGAUAGCUAUUCAGAAUAAUGGGCAAGUCUGGUUGGUUAUUACGAUAUUGUUGUAUAAGUAUGUCUUGUAUGUAAUGAAAUGUUGUCGAUGAACCGAAAUGGAUAUACUGUGUCAAAGUGUUAGGAGAUCUCUCUUAUUUGGAAUUUCAGAAUGUUAAGUCUAAUUUAUGGUGAUAUGAACUUGUGGUGAAUAGUUGGAGUUCUGAUUGUAUAAUUUAUUUAGCUUGUGGAUUUAUAAAUGUUGUUCAUGUUUGUCAAGUUGGCUUGGGUUGCCAUAAAUGUGAAUUAUCGAGUGACGUGAUAUAUGAUUAUAAACUGCACAGGUUUUAUGGAUGUGAAUAUGAAUAGAAUGUUUUCAGUGUCCUCAAACGUUAGUUUGGAUCCUGGAUUGGUCUGUGAUGAAAAUUUUAAAAAUCAUGGAUAUUUUGAGGGGGCGUGCCAGAGGUGGUAUCAGAGCAUUGUUUGAGGAUUACUGAAAUAUUUGAUAUGUUGACGUGCAAAAUAUAUUGAGGUCUAAUGAACUAUAGUGAUUGGUGGAAAUUUUCUUUGAUGUAUUUUAGGAAUCUAGGAUGACGAUGACAUUUAGUCCUCCUACUUCAUCUGAUUUUGAUUAAUUAAGUGGGAUGAAAGGGGUAAUCGAGGAUAUUGAAUCAGAGUGGCGCAGCGAAAGCAUGGUGGACCUAAUUUCAUUGGUGGUAGAAAAAUGAAUGAUGCAAACAGAGAAGAUAUUUGAUGUACAAAAUUGUUUUGAUGAUCAAAAGAUUUCUUUUGCCACCUUAUAUUGGAAGUAGAGGCUGAUUAUUAUUGGCAACAAUGAAAAGAAUUUUUGGAGAUCAGUGACAAGAAUGAUAAGGACAAGUUUACCGAUAAGAAUAUGAUUGGAAAUGAAUCAGAAAGUAAUGACAAGAGGGUCAAGACAUUUGGAUUUGAAAAGGAAAGUUACCAUCAAAGACUUAAUCAUGUGUGAAUUACAAGUUAAAUUAUGAAACAAGUUUGUGUUUUCGGGUGAUUGGAGUCUAUUUUGCUUGUAGAAAGUUGGAUCAUAAAAUAAAAGUUUGCCCUUUGAACAAGAAGAAAGAGUCACUGCCUCCUAAAUCAUCAGCCCAUGUAAGAGUGUAUGCUAUCACUAAAUAUGAUUCUGAAACUUCUGAAUUAGUGGUCAAAGGUAUUAUGCAUGUUUAUGAAAGAAUGCAAAUAUUUGUUUGACCAUGGGUCCCAUCUAUGAUUUGAUUCGGAAUAUUCUGUCUAUCACUUGGGUAUUCAACCUAGACCACUACAUUAUGUGCUAUAUGUAAAUACGAUCAUUGGAGAUUCUUUGAUAACGAACUUGAAUCUGGUCCUCUUGUCUGAUUUUUGUUGGAGAACUUGAACUUUUGCUGAUUUAGUUCUCCUAGAGAUUUGGAGUUAUGAUAUUAUACUUGGUAUGGAUUGGCCAUCUUCUUAUCAUACCAGUAUGGAUUGAUAUAUAACAAAUGAUCGCUUUUUGCAUAUUUGAUCAGUCCAUCUUUUAUUUUGAGAGUAUUGGACAUUAUUUAUCUCCUUGCCUAAUGUAUCCUAGGAUGACUUGUUUGGAUUACCUGCAAAUGUGACUUUGCUUUUGAUUUGGUCCUUGGGAUAAUCCCAAUAUCUAAGCCUCUCUACAGAAAGAUAUCAUUUGAGUAAGUGGAAUUGGAAAAGCAACUACAAGGAUUGUUAAAUGAGGAUUUUAUUUGGCUUAAUAUUUCAUCAUGGGGUGCUCCGGUGUUAGUUAAAAGAAAUGUAUGGAACAUUGAGGCUUUGUAAUGAUUAUAGACAGUUGAAUUAGGUGACCAUCAAAAACGAGUAUUUUCUGAAGUAUCGACUUGCUCGAUUAAUUACAGGGUACGCAAGUAUUUUUAGAAAUUGAUUGAAGGUCGGGUUACCGUCUAUUGAGGAUCAAGGAGGAGAAUAUUUCGGUCACUCGUGGAUAAUUAUGUAAAUGUAUUGUAUUGAUGAAACUAUUUAAGAGUAGGAGGAGGAAAUAAAGAUAUCAUAAUCCUCAUCUUUUCAUCGAUUGAGCUAUGAUCAAUUUAGAGGACUAAAUUUUCUUUUAAGGGGGGGAGAGUGUAAUAUCCCUCGUUUUUAAAAAUUAUUAAUAAAGAUUUAUAUGUAAAUUGGAGGACCUAUAUGUAAAUAUAGAAAUUACAAGGACUAAACUGCUAAGUUGCAAAAAAAAAAAGGAAAAAACCGAAAAUUCGGUAUUAUCCCACCGCCUCCCACGCACUCUGUUUCUUCCAGAAACAGAGAGAGCGGUGGGGCGUGAGGAGAAGAAGGAGAGUGGUAGAAGAAGAGAGGAAGAAGAGGGAGAAGAGAAGAAGAAGAAGAAGAAGAAGAAGAAGAGGGAAAAGAAGAGAGGAGGAAGAAGAGGGAGUAGAGAAGAAGAAGAAGGAGAAGAAGAAGAAGAGGAGGUGGCUGCAGCGAGGGCUGCAGCGAGAAGCUGUGGGGCGUGGGGAGAAGAAGAGAGGAAGAAGAGGGAGAAGAGAAGAAGAAGAAGAAGAAGAAGAGAAGAGGAUAGCUGCGGCAAGGCUGCAGCGAGGAGGUGUGGGGUUGGGGAGGAAAAGGGAAGAGGAGAAGAAGAGGGAAAAGAGAGGGAAGAGGGAGAGGAGCGAGAGGUGGCAGCAGCUAGGGCUGCAGCACCUCUGUUUCCUGCAGGUGGAAACAGAGGAGAGGUGUGGGGCGUUCGAAGAGGAGAAGAAGAAGAAGAGGAAGAGAAGAGGAAGAGGAAGCAGGGGAAGAGGUUGUGAUACCUCUGUUUCCUGCAGAGGAAACAGAGGGGAGGGUGUGGGUGACGUCGGGGAGAAGAAGGGGAGGAAGGAGAAGAAGAGAAGAAGAAGAAAGGAAGGAAAAGGAAGAGGAGAAGGGAAGAAAGUAGCUGCGGCUGCGGUUGUGGCAGCUGCAGCUGUGGCAGGGAAAGAAGAAGAGAAAGGAAGAAGGGGAGGAGAGGAAGAAGAGUAGGGGCUGCGGCUGCGGCGAUGGCAGCUGCAGUUGGAAGAGAAGAAGGAGAGGAAGAUGAGCAGGGGAGGAAGAAAAGGCUGUGGCCGUGGCUGAGGCUGCGACUGCAGCAUGCAGCUGGGAAAGAAGAGAAGGAAAGGAAGAAGAAGAGAAAGGAAGAAGGGAAGGAGAGGAAGAAGAGAGGGGGCUGCGGCUGCGGCGAUGGCAGCUGCAGUUGGAAGAGAAGAAGGAGAGGAAGAUGAGCAGGGGAGGAAGAAAAGGCUGUGGCCGUGGCUGAGGCUGCGACUGCAGCAUGCAGCUGGGAAAGAAGAGAAGGAAAGGAAGAAGAAGAGAAAGGAAGAAGGGAAGGAGAGGAAGAAGAGAAGGGGCUACGGCUGCGGCGAUAGCAGCUGCAGUUGGAAGAGAAGAAGGAGAGGAAGAUGAGCAGGGGAGGAAGAAGAGGCUGCGAGUGUGGUGGCUGCGGCCGUGGCUGCGACUCCGGCUGCGGCUGCAACGUUGGCUGCGGUAGCUGCGGCAGCGGUGGUGGCUGCAGUAGCUGCAGUAGCUGCUUUUGGGAAAGAGAAAGAGUAGGAACGAGAGAAGGGAAGAAGGAAAUAGUGCAGUGGAAGGGGGCUGCGGUUGUGACCGCAGUUGCGGUCGUGGCUGCGAUUGUGGCAGCGGCAGCGACGGUGGCUGUGGCAGCUGCGUUUGGGAAAGAAAAAAAAGAAGGAAUGAGAGUAAGAGAGAGCAGGUGACUGUGCCUCGAUGUUCGACACGUGAUGUAGUUGCGAAGAAAGGAAGAAAACGGGAGCACAAAACGAAACAGAGAGAGGACACGGAGAAAAAGUAGAAGGAUUUGGCCUGGCACCUUCUUUGGAUCUUCGGAUCGAAAUCAUUGAAAGGUCAGCUUGUCACUCUUCGAGAUGUUUGAUUUGGGCUGAGGCAAUGGAUAGCUAUUCAGAAUAAUGGGCAAGUCUGGUUGGUUAUUACGAUAUUGUUGUAUAAGUAUGUCUUGUAUGUAAUGAAAUGUUGUCGAUGAACCGAAAUGGAUAUACUGUGUCAAAGUGUUAGGAGAUCUCUCUUAUUUGGAAUUUCAGAAUGUUAAGUCUAAUUUAUGGUGAUAUGAACUUGUGGUGAAUAGUUGGAGUUCUGAUUGUAUAAUUUAUUUAGCUUGUGGAUUUAUAAAUGUUGUUCAUGUUUGUCAA